GCGGGGUUGCAGAUUUUUAUUUUCUUCUUUUUUUGAAUUGGUUUCCUACAUCAUUCUUCACUAUACUGGUAUUCUAUAUUCUUCAAAUUUUCAAUUAUGUGUGGUUUCGAAACUAUAUUAAAUGUUUUUCAUGCAGCAAGGAUGAGCUCAAGAUCAAGGUACUAUAGAUACAAAGAUGUGCAUAGGUCAGGCAUGGUGGCUCAUGCCUGCAAUCCCAGCACUUUGCAAGGCUGAGGUGGGAGGAUCACUUGAAGCCAGGAGUUUGAGGCCCGCCUAGGAAACACAGGGAGACCCCGUCUCUACAAAAAUUAAAAAUUAGCUGGAUGUGGUGGCGCCUGUAGCCUCAGCUACUCAGGAGGCUGAGGUAGGAGGACCGCUUGGGUCAGGAGUUCAAGGUUAUGGUGAACUAUGAUCCCUCCACUGCAGUCCAGUCUGGGUGACAAAGUGAGACCCUGUCUAUAAAAAGACAGAAGAAAAAACGUGCUUAGCAAAGUCAGGACAUUCUCCCAGAAUAGGAGUUGAGAAUUGAGAGCUUGUGGCUAAGCCUGGUAGCCUAGAUAGGCCUUCCUCUGCCCUCCCACAGCUCUGAGAGCCCAGCAGUGCUCAGGGACACCAAGCCUGCCCUCACAGAGCUCACUCAGACACUGCUGCUGCAAAGACACCAAACAGCACCUCCCCUUUAGGAGAUGCCUCCUCUGCAAACAAAACAAAACAACACAAAACAACAGCACUCUUCUGUUCACCCAAACCAAUGGUGGCACAAUAGUCCCAGUGGUGGCCCUGAAACUCUAUUUCUCCAGCCUUAGAGUUGCCGUGGCAGGUGAGCCACAAAGGGUGCGAAGAUUAAUCUGGUGCUUUUGUGAAGGACUGGUGUUAUAGGACCAACAGGUUUGUAUGCCCACUGCACAGUAGCAGACCAGUUAGCAGACCAGUUACACAGUAACAGACCAGUUAUGCCCACUGCACAGUAGCAGACCAGUUAGCAGACCAGGCUGCAACAGAGAAAGAGUUUAAUGGUCACAGGGCACUGCGCUAAGAGAUGGGAGGAGCCCCCAAACUCCAUCUCCCCCAGGAUUUCUGGGCUGGAGUCUUUAAGGGGAUUGUGGAGGACAAGGGACUGGAGAAUUGGAGCUGUUGAUUGGUUGGGGUA